rnacentral:rRNA from 1 species
GAUGAACGCUGGCGGCGUGCUUUAACACAUGCAAGUCGAACGGGAAACAUUUUAUUGAAGCUUCGGCAGAUUUAGUUUGUUUCCAGUGGCGGACGGGUGAGUAAACGCGUGGGUAACCUGCCUCACACUGGGGGAUAACAGUCAGAAAUGACUGCUAAUACCGCAUGAAACAGGGGUCCCGCAUGGGGAUAUUUGUUAAAGAUUUUAUCGCUGAUAGAUAGGCAUGCGUUCCAUUAGGUAGUUGGUGGGGCAACGGCCCACCAAGCCGACGAUGGAUAGGGGUUCUGAGAGGAAGGUCCCCCACACUGGUACUGAGACACGGACCAGACUCCUACGGGAGGCAGCAGUGAGGAAUAUUGGUCAAUGGGCGAGAGCCUGAACCAGCCAAGUCGCGUGAGGGACGAAGGCCCUACGGGUUGUAAACCUCUUUUAUAAGGGAAUAAAGGGCGCCACGUGUGGCGUAUUGCAUGUACCUUAUGAAUAAAGCAUCGGCUAACUCCGUG